AAAAAAGAUGAUACCAAAGAUGAAAAAUAAAUAAAUUAAAGAUGGAGAUGCAACAACGUCCACCUUCGUUCGAUAUUUGAAGUUGCAAAAAGAAUGAUCCAGUCUACCUCAAAGCAGCUGCCUUGGAUCCAACCUUUUCUCUGAUUUGGGUGGAGCACCUUGUGCUGGUCAGUCGUGAGGUCAAUAGAGAGGUGGCACAACGAGUGAAAGAUGUUUUGCCAGAACUCAUCCUGCAAAAUGCCGCAAAGGCUGAGCAACCUGUGCCUCUUGUUGAUGAGGAAGAGUGAGAGGAAAAGGGAAGAGCUGUUUGUACCGCAAGAGGGAGAAGAGGCAUGUUGGGAAUACUUCCGGCACUACAGCUAAUUCGCUACCUUGACAUAUCCUAAGGUCAGAACGCCCUCUUGUUCUAGGCAAUGAACAAGAAGGCUCUUCUUUCACUGUUCUGAGUGGCCCGUCACGAUCUUGUGAUCCGGCUGAGUGAGUUUUCAGCCAUGGUGGCAUCAUACUGUGGCCCCAUCAGUUUGGAGACUUUUGGCUACUUUGGUCUUUUGCAAAUACAUUGCAUCAUAGGGUCAUUCACACACACAACCCUGUUUGUGAAUGAAACCGUUUAUUCAUUUGUUACGUUUAUGCAACUGUAAUGUU